ensembl:snRNA U4 U4 spliceosomal RNA
AGCUCUGCGUGGUGGCAGUAUGGUAGCCAAUGAGGUUUAUCUGAGGUGUAAUUAUUGCUAAUUGAAAACUUUUCACAAUACCCUGCUAUGAUGACUUGAAAUAUAGUUGGCUUGGGCAAUUUUUGAGUCUCUAUGGUGA